ACGCCGCGCCGGGCUGGGAGCCGGCGGGGCCGAGCCGGUGCCGGGCGCCGUGGGGCUCGCGCGCUGGGCCCGCCGCGGAGGGCCGCGCCGGAGCAGGGGCGGUAGAAGGGCAGGCCGGGGCCGGGCUCCUGCUGGCGGCGGGGCCGAGGCGGAGCGCGCGGCCCGCCAUGGAGGUGGAGGAGGCGUUCCAGGCAGUGGGCGAGAUGGGCAUCUACCAGAUGUACCUGUGCUUCCUGCUGGCGGUGCUGCUGCAGCUCUACGUGGCCACGGAAGCCAUCCUCAUUGCGCUGGUCGGGGCCACGCCGUCCUACCACUGGGACCUGGCAGAGCUCCUGCCCAACCAGAGCCACAGCAACCAGUCGGUCCGGGAAGAGCAGGCGCUGGGGGCCUGGCUCCUGACGGCCAACGGCAGCGAGAUCCACAAGCACGUGCACUUCAGCGGCAGCUUCACCUCCAUUGCCUCUGAGUGGUUUUUAAUUGCCAACAGAUCCUACAAAGUCAGUGCAGCAAGCUCCUUUUUCUUCAGCGGUGUGUUCGUGGGAGUUAUCUCUUUUGGGCAACUCUCAGAUCGCUUUGGAAGGAAAAAAGUCUAUCUCACAGGUUUUGCUCUCGACAUCUUAUUUGCUAUCGCAAAUGGGUUCUCCCCCACAUAUGAGUUCUUUGCAAUAACUCGCUUCCUGGUGGGCGUGAUGAAUGGAGGGAUGUCCCUGGUGGCCUUUGUCCUGCUGAACGAAUGUGUGGGCACCGCCUACUGGGCACUGGCAGGGUCCAUCGGUGGCCUCUUCUUCGCAGUUGGCAUUGCCCAGUAUGCCCUGUUGGGAUAUUUCAUCCGCUCCUGGAGGACCCUCGCCGUUCUGGUUAACCUGCAGGGAACCGUGGUGUUUCUCUUAUCUUUAUUCAUUCCUGAAUCACCCCGUUGGUUAUACUCCCAGGGUCGACUGCGAGAGGCCGAAGCAGCCCUGUACCUCAUUGCCAGGAGGAACCGCCAGCUCAGGUGCACCUUCUCUCUAACACACCCGGCCAACAGGAGCUGCAAGGAAACCGGAAGUUUCCUGGACCUGUUCCGCUACCGGGUCCUCUUGGGGCACACGCUGACCCUCAUGUUCAUCUGGUUUGUGUGCAGUUUGGUGUAUUAUGGCCUAACUCUGAGCGCAGGAGAUCUAGGUGGAAAUAUUUAUGCCAACUUGGCCCUGUCUGGCCUCAUAGAGAUUCCAUCUUACCCCAUCUGCAUCUACUUGAUUAACCAAAAAUGGUUUGGUCGGAAGCGGACAUUAGCAGCAUUUCUGUGCCUGGGAGGACUGGCUUGUCUUAUUGUCAUGUUUCUUCCAGAAAAAAAAGACACAGGUGUGUUCGCCGUGGUGAACAGCCAUUCCUUGUCCCUGCUGGGGAAGCUGACCAUCAGUGCUGCCUUCAACGUGGUCUAUAUCUACACCUCGGAGCUAUACCCCACUGUCAUCAGGAACGUCGGGCUUGGAACUUGUUCCAUGUUCUCCCGAGUUGGUGGGAUUAUCGCUCCCUUCAUCCCCUCACUGGUUGAAGUACGUGCAGUGGUCUUUACCCUUCAUCGUCUUUGGCGCCACAGGGCUGACCUCAGGCCUCCUGAGUUUAUUAUUACCCGAAACCCUUAACAGUCCGUUGCUGGAGACGUUUUCUGACCUUCAGGUGUAUUCCUAUCGGAGGCUGGGGGAGGAGGCGUUAUCUUUGCAGACCUUGGAUCCCCCUCAGUCUGCGGGCAAGGACAGCCCUUUAGGGAGCGAGAGUGAGGAAGAAGAAGAGUUUUACGACGCGGAUGAAGAGACUCAGAUGAUCAAGUGAAAAGCCCCAGACUCCCUCUCGGAAGCAGAGGACCAGCGCCCCCGGUGAGAACCCCUUCUCCCAGGAGCCUGGAGGGGGCUGUGGAAAGAUUGGCUUGAACAAACGCAGACGGUGCUCCGCGUGGCCUGAUGUCUUUGAGGCACCGAGGAAGCUGGAGAAGCGACUUCAUGAACGAGGACAACCCUGCCUCCAGUGAAGAGCUGUUCCUUUGCCCCCAGUUCUGCUUUAGCUCAGAAUCAUGACCGCUGGCCAGACAACUGUCAUCCACAUGCCAGGGUCAGUAAGCUAAUGUGUUUCCAGAAGUUGGAUUGGUUUUCAGUUUCAUCGUGACCUGAAGGCAAAUAUGUAAAACGUCUUCUCACCAUGAAGAUGUAACCUGUGCACCAUAUCUGACGUCCGCCCCUCUCACUUGCUCCUCACCAGGAAUCCUUGGAGGCAAGUUGGUGUUCGCGUUUCAUUUUUGUGCCGGAGGAGAAGCUCAGAGAGGUCAUUUGUGUGGCCCGUGGGUUUCCAGCGUCUCCCUAACUGAUGGGAUUGGGGCCCUCAACACAAAGGCUUGAGUGCCUUGUGCUUUGGGUCCCCCCCCAGGGGACCUGCUAGGAAAAGCCAGCUGUUCCAAAGUGAUGUUCUCAGAGUCCAAAGCGCGGCUGCAUUUCCCUGUGUGAUUUUGUCACGUCCCACCUGUGUGCGCGCCUCUAGAAAAAGUUCCAUCUCAGACUCUAGUACCAGCAAUAACUUCCAAACUAUGCCUGGUGAAUGAUCAAGCUUUAUAAGGGGGGUGGGCUGUUAAAAAGUGGCUUGUUGAGCACAUUUCCAUGUUAAAAAAGGGAAAAAAAUGUGCUGUUUUUAAUAAGGAAGAAAAGGAAUUACCUUUCCCAGUUUUCUGUUUUGUUGUCAGUGUGGUGCAGGGAGCGACUUGAGCAGCAUUUCAGAACUCUUCUAGUCCUAGAUCGGCCCCCGGCCUGUUUAGUUAGCUUGAAUGGAAGGCACAGUGACGUCAUAGGAAAUACUAGUUUUCAUUAAGACUUACCAGCCUUCAAAUAAAUGGAAAUCAUACUCAGUUUCCUAAAAUCA